rnacentral:rRNA from 1 species
ACACGAAGUGAGUGGCGAACGGGUGAGUAACACGUGGGUAACCUGCCCAGAAGUAGGGGAUAACACCUGGAAACAGAUGCUAAUACCGUAUAACAGAGAAAACCGCAUGGUUUUCUUUUAAAAGAUGGCUCUGCUAUCACUUCUGGAUGGACCCGCGGCGUAUUAGCUAGUUGGUGAGGUAAAGGCUCACCAAGGCAGUGAUACGUAGCCGACCUGAGAGGGUAAUCGGCCACAUUGGGACUGAGACACGGCCCAGACUCCUACGGGAGGCAGCAGUAGGGAAUCUUCCACAAUGGACGCAAGUCUGAUGGAGCAACGCCGCGUGAGUGAAGAAGGGUUUCGGCUCGUAAAGCUCUGUUGUUAAAGAAGAACGUGGGUAAGAGUAACUGUUUACCCAGUGACGGUAUUUAACCAGAAAGCCACGGCUAACUACGUGCCAGCAGCCGCGGUAAUACGUAGGUGGCAAGCGUUAUCCGGAUUUAUUGGGCGUAAAGCGAGCGCAGGCGGUC